AUGUCUCUUAUAUGAAAUACUCAGCUGACUUAGUUUUUUGUUGGUGUUAUUGUUUCUGUCAAUUGACCACUCAAAUGACCCCAUUUGUCUGGAAAUAUAUUUUGUCUCGACUUCAAAUGUGUAGCACAAAACAAUAAAAAGAUGAGAUUUGACAUGGAAAAAAACAAGUGACCGAGAAACCACAACUUAAAAUCACCAUCUAGACCGCAUGGAAAUGACGCCCGCUCAUAGGCACAACACUGAACUCUCUCUUUGCAUUGUAUGGAGAAACAUCAACAAAAAGCGAAGCUCAUUUGUUUUUGUUUUUGUUUUGGUCUGUACCAUUUGCACUGAAUGGAAUAAUUGAUUGGAGCUGAAAGCACCAAAAGUUGGACAAGAUCACAGAACUGGUCCUGGGGAUGAACCUUGCUGUGAUGGGUCUGCUCUACACCUCUAUGUUACCCAGCUCCCUGAUUUUCGAAUCCAUCAAUCCAGUCCGUUAUGGGAAUGAAACAUCAGGUUUCAACGAGUCAAAUCCCAUAUUCUCCAUGAAAGACUCCUUCAACAUGCUCAACCUGAUUGGCUGCCCACUGCUCUUGACCUGCAUGUGCGUUGAACGCUACCUGGCGGUGAUGCACCCUGUUCUCUACCUGAGACUGAGAAAGUGGAAGAAUCUCUGCAUUGUUUCGGCCGUGGUGUGGAUGAUCACUUUCUCCUUCUGUUUGUCAGCAGGUAUGUGGAUUUGACUGACACGUUUUCAGCUAUGUAAUUCGCUCUUAGGAGAUAACUGUGCUUCAGCUAAUUUGACGGUUCAGUCAAGUCAUGAUGAAGCUGGAGAUAAGGUUGGCUUAAACUAGUGAUGCGUCUAUUAAGGUUCCAUGACACAGUAUUGAA